rnacentral:pre_miRNA from 1 species
GGGACGAGGCGCGCUCCCGGUCCCGCUCGCGCCGGGACACCGCCGUGUUGGUGGAGCGAGAGCGGGACCGCGACUCCCGCCGC